UUUGCAAUUUUGAGAAGCCUAUUCUGGUCAGCGCAGGGGAGAGCAUGAACUGGAACAGGUCCAGAGUGGACACAGGGAGACCAGUUGGGAGGAUACUGAUGUCUGCUGAUGAACACAGUCUGAGGCCUAUUCAUGCUUUUCUGUGUCCUUUUGUGAAGUGGAAGUGUACUGUAUAGAUGUGCCGACUGGAGCCGACUUGUUCUUGUGCUGUUCAAUCUGACUCAUCUCCUUUGUAAACAGUAAGGUUAUUGAGGGCGGAGAUUCAGCGUUUGUACUUUUUCCUGUGUUGUAACUGCCCACGACACGAGGAGCACAAUGGGUACUGAGACUGUGACUACUGAAAGUCACCCCACGGGGCCACCUGAAACAUUUAUCGACACAGUUAUAUUGAUAAUUGUUGCUUUUGGUUUCUAGACAUUUGGGUGGAAGAUUUGAUCAUGCAAAGAAAAAGUUGGAUAUCUCAACCCUUACUACUCAAAGCAUGGUCUGUGGACCAGCAGUAUCAGAAUCACCUGGGAGCUUGUAAGAAAUGAAAAAUCUCAAAAAAAUAGAAAAUUAAAAAUAAAUAAAUAAAUAAAAGUUAACCAAAAAAAAAAAAAAGGCAGGGGACACCUGGGUGGUUCAGUCGGUUAAGUGUCCGGCUCUUGAUUUCCACUCAGGUCAUGAUCUCAGGGUCGUGAGAUUGAGCCCCACUUGGGGGCUCAGGGCUGGAUGUGGAGUCUGCUUGAGAUGCUCUCUCUCCCUUUCCCGCUGCCCCUCCCCCCCCCCGCUUGCAUACGCAUUCUCUCUCAAAAAUAAAUAAAUAAGUAAAAGUUAAAAAAAAAAAAAGAAAGAAAAACUCAGACUCCCCUCCCCCCAGCCCAGACCCGUUCAAUCAGUAUCUUCAUUUUUAACAUGAUCCCCAGGGGAUUCGGGCCCAGUUUAAGAAACACCUGGCUGUGUAAACAACACUGCUCCCCACUCCUGUGGGUAAUAUUUGUACCUCAGGUAUGGCAUUUAUCACAUCCUGUCCGGUGUGGAAGACUGCUUAUGGUUUCUUUCCCUGCCAGGCCGGGCAUUCCUGGAAGGCAGGGGCUGAGCAUUGUGUUCGGCUCCGGAGCUUCCAUAGCAUCAGGCACAAUGACAGGAAGCAGAAGACCAAGGUUUUGGUCCUGGUUCUGCCACUGACAAUCUCUGUGUGUUUUAUCUUCUGAGAGAAGAUUUUCCGUCCUUGGGGCGCCUGGGUGGCUCAGUCGUUGGGCGUCUGCCUUCGGCUCAGGUCAUGAUCCCGGGGUCCUGGGAUCGAGCCCCUCAUCGGGCUCCCUGCUCAGCGGGAAGCCUGCUUCUCCCUCUCCCACUCCCCCUGCUUGUGUUCCCUCUCUCGCUGUGUCUCUGUCUGUCAAAUAAAUAAAUAAAAUCUUAAAAAAAAAAAAAAUUUUCCGUCCUUCCAAAGGACCCACCCCAAAUCUGACGUUGGCAAGGCUGAAGAUGGUGGCAGAUUUCUAUGCACCGUUUCCUUCCUAUCCACCGUUUCGUCUAUAGGAGGAGGCACAUGAUGGGUGGAAGGAGGAAGGCAGUAAUCAAUUCCAGAGUGGAUGAGGCCCGGGCAUAUAAGGAACGUGGGCGGAAGUUACUCCCAACAGCUGCCCUAAGAGGGAACCAAGGCAGACAGAAACCAGCCGCCUCUGCACCAUCACCCUUUGAAGUAGGCACUCGUGCUGCUCCUAUAUUUACAGCUGGUAGGUGCUGACCGAGGACUGCUGCUUCUGAGCCCUAAGGAUUCGGAUAUGAAGAUUUGCUUCCUGUCCCAGAUAAACUUACCCUGGAUUCGACCCAACCCUGCCUGACAAGUGAGUGGCCUGGCAGCCGGGCACGGCUGGGGAACGUGAGCUCCAACCUGCUCUCUGCUGGAGUCAGAUUUCAGUGGGAG